rnacentral:piRNA from 1 species
UCCUCACUCUCACAACAGUGGCAAUGGGGGC